rnacentral:lncRNA from 12 species
CAAUACCCUUCAAUGAAGGCACGCACUAUGCUAGCCAUUAUGAAUCACAAUGAGAAUCACUCCACAAAGCGGGAACAGGCAACAACAGCAGCUGGCCUCACAAGACACAAUGUUGUCUUUCAAAAGCAAUCAAAGCAGUGGAUUGCUAGACCAAUCUAUGUGAAGACGACUCAAAAAUUCAGAGAUGACCUCAUGGACAGAGUGAUCCAAAGAAGACUUGACCCCACAAUCAGAUUCAAAGACGCAUCAUCCCGUAUCCAAAUACCUCGCCUAGCUGCCAACAUUGCAUUGCAAACAAAGCCCAGCAAAGAGGAGGUCAUACAGUCACACACCUCAAGAUUCAAAGGUCCAUCGGAGCCAUUGUAACUCUUGUUUACAGCUGACAUGAAAAAGAACCUGUGCCAUUAAAAAACCACAGGAGGGGACUUGUACUUGCAUAGCAAGUGUAGAAGGCAAAUGUCAGUUAUUAUAGUUAAUAUUUUUGUUGUUAUAUUGUUAACCUUUUCAGUGGUGAGUUUAAAAUAUUCUAGCGGUCCCCCCAGAGUGAGUUUUUUUAAGACGACCGUUAUUUUAGAAUGUUCCCCUUACUGUUUCCAUGGCGACGUGUCAGGCUUGUCACGUGACACACCGCGUCUACAAUAACACUGUAUGACAGCUGGAUCGCUUUUAUUUUGUUUUUCCUUUUUUAAUUUCAAAUAUUCACAAACUUGCAUACCAUGUCAUGAACAAUCCGAUAUUCCGAUUCAUAAAUAUGUGUAAAUGAGCGUGUUUGGUCGUUUAAAAACCUUUCUAAAUGAUCUUGAUCUGUAAUGUGAGACGGGCGCCGCCAUGUUUGUUCGCGCUGCAGUUCAGAGAGUCCUGUCAGUCGGAUUUACAGCAAGUGAAUUCAUUAAUCUCUCCCGAAAUACAGGUAAUAAGUGGCCGGUGAACUGGGUGAAGAAUAGAGUGAUCUUUAUAGUUACUUACACUAUGUGUAUCUGAUAUGAAUAAAAAACAUCUGCAAAUUAAAUUUGAAUGGAUUAUUAUUGUUGCUUCCAUAGACAUAUGCGUGUAUUUUUCAAACUCUAAAUGUAUUGUUUUACUAGUAUUUAUGUGUAUUUAAAUGUCUGAAACCUAAAAUAUGAAUUAUGUGGUUAAGAACACUACAUAGUUGUGAUAAUAUGACAAGAGCAGUGCACGUCUGUCUCUGGCUCAGCGCCAGCCAACGCGCGAAAACGCAGUUUGAAUUUGGCAGUUAUGCGACGUCACCGAACGUUCUAAAUCCCAUAUGUGGGACCAUACGCCCAGGGGCACGGAAAUAAGAAUCCCAUAUGUGGGACCGUACCGCUCAAAAGGUUAAAUCAAUUACGUAUUUACCAAAUUUGUGACUUCACUUAUGUUUGAACAAAUCUGACAAAACACCUUUUGCCUAGAGAACACAUGGCCUAUCCUAUGUAGCGUGAACCAGACAAAUUAAAGAUUCGAUCGGGAGCCUGGUUGAAACAUGAGCCGAAUUCCACAGAAAGGCAGGAUGUUGUAAAUCAACUCCCAGCACCACAGUCUGGUAACCAACUCUUUCACAGAACAGCUUUNCGUGUUUGGUCGUUUAAAAACCUUUCUAAAUGAUCUUGAUCUGUAAUGUGAGACGGGCGCCGCCAUGUUUGUUCGCGCUGCAGUUCAGAGAGUCCUGUCAGUCGGAUUUACAGCAAGUGAAUUCAUUAAUCUCUCCCGAAAUACAGGUAAUAAGUGGCCGGUGAACUGGGUGAAGAAUAGAGUGAUCUUUAUAGUUACUUACACUAUGUGUAUCUGAUAUGAAUAAAAAACAUCUGCAAAUUAAAUUUGAAUGGAUUAUUAUUGUUGCUUCCAUAGACA